rnacentral:rRNA from 1 species
UUAUGCCUAUUGCUAGAAUGAGUAUUUAAAAAUUAAUAUGCGUGGGUAAAGAUUAGAGAUACCCAUAGUAGUGUGUAAUUCUUAGGUUGAAAUAAGGGGAAGGAACUCGGCAAAUUUUAGCUUCGCCUGUUUAUCAAAAACAUGGCUCUUUGGUAUUUAGGUAUAAAGAGUCAAACCUGCCCAGUGAAAUUUUUAACGGCCGCGGUACCCUGACCGUGCAAAGGUAGCAUAAUCAUUUGCCUUAUAAUUGAAGGCUUGUAUGAAUGGUUUAACGAAAGCACUGCUGUCUCCCCCUUAAUAAGUAGAAUUUGACUUUUAGGUGAAGAGGCCUAAAUGUAAUUGAAAGACAAGAAGACCCUGUCGAGCUUGAAAAUUAAGUUAGGAGCGAGAUAUAACAUGCCUUAAAUUUAUUACUAACUAUUUUUUUGGUUGGGGCGACCGAGGAACAAUAAAAGCUUCCUUUUUUGUAUUAACUUAUAGGUGCUGAUCCAGUUAGAGCUGAUUAAAAAAAUUAGUUACCGCAGGGAUAACAGCAUAAUCUCUCUUGAGAGAUCAAAUCGAAAGAGGGGGUUGUGACCUCGAUGUUGGACUAGAAUAUCCUAAAGAUGCAGAAGUCUUUAAGGGGUCGGUAA